UGGGUUAUAGCUCUGUGGUUGAGUGCUUGCCUACUAAGCAUAUAGGACCUUGGGUUCAAUUCCAGUAACACAC
rnacentral:tRNA from 1 species